AUACUUACCUGGCAAGGGAGAUACCAUGAUCACAAUGGUGGUUUUCUCGAGGUGAGGUUAAUCCAUUGCACUAUAGAUGUGCUGACCCCUGCAAUUUCCCCCAAAUGUGGGAAACUCAACUGCAGAAUUUGUGGUAGUCGGGGACUGUGUUUGCGCUCUGUCCUGG